rnacentral:rRNA from 1 species
GGCCGCGGGAAUUCGAUUCAGGCCUAACACAUGCAAGUCGAGCGGUAGAGAGAAGCUUGCUUCUCUUGAGAGCGGCGGACGGGUGAGUAAUGCCUAGGAAUCUGCCUGGUAGUGGGGGAUAACGUCCGGAAACGGACGCUAAUACCGCAUACGUCCUACGGGAGAAAGCAGGGGACCUUCGGGCCUUGCGCUAUCAGAUGAGCCUAGGUCGGAUUAGCUAGUUGGUGGGGUAAUGGCUCACCAAGGCGACGAUCCGUAACUGGUCUGAGAGGAUGAUCAGUCACACUGGAACUGAGACACGGUCCAGACUCCUACGGGAGGCAGCAGUGGGGAAUAUUGGACAAUGGGCGAAAGCCUGAUCCAGACAGGCCGCGUGUG